AAAAAAUAUUUAAACAUCUGGAGCAGGUUGACUUCUUAAAAACACGUCCAACUAAACCCUUGUUGAAAAUGUUUUCCCCUGUACUUCCAGUCCCUGCUAUUUACAACCUUUUAAAACUAUUCAUACCCCAGUUUCAAGCAAAUAAAAGCUUCACCAAAGCCAAAUGUUGAAUUUUGGUCUCAUCUGAACAGAGUCUCCAAAUUUUUACCAUUUUUCUUGUCGGUUUUCCAUUACAAUUGGUGUUGUGAAGUGCGGGACUAAUAUUUGUCCUGCACUUAUUUUAUUUGACUAAUAUUUGUCCUCCACAGCUUUUGUCAGCAAAAGCUGUGGAGUUUUGCUGCUCAAGAGUUACUGAGGGUCUUUUAGUUGCUUCGUUUCUGAACUCCUCUCCACCGGGUCUCCCAAACGCUCUGCGGUGCUUCUUGACUGUGACGAAGCUCGAGAGGCAUGGACACUUUCUGCAAGGUGGUCCCGGCCAUCCUGCAGGUCCCUGUUGCCCAGGAAGCCCAGGAGGCCCAGUCCGACCCUGGUGUGACACAUCGGUUUUGUCUUCCAAUUUCUCCCUGACGACAGGAUGUGGAGGAGGGGAUAAGGACAGCAGGCGCUUAAUGAACUUCCCAAAAGCAUUUUUCAGUCAUGUGCAACAGGCCCUCUCAUUCCAGGAAAUCCAGGGGGACCCUGGUUAUCAUAAGAAAACACAAAAAUAAUUGGUUAUGAAUCACAUAGAUAGGCAUCUAAAUUAGUUUUACUGUCGGCAACAUGCUUCUUGGAGAGCAGAGCUGCAGUUUUAAUUAGCUGAAGGCUGACUGGUCUCUAUUGAUUGGAGAAGUGCCUCCUGGGUCUUUAUGAUGGACUGAACUGCAGACCGUCUGGUGGUGUAAGCAGAAGCCUCAACAACCGCUUGAGGAUCCCUGAAAUAGAAAGGUCAGCUUGGAGUUAGACGAAGGGAUUGUGAGGGGGAUACAACAGUUCGGCUAUGCACCUGGGGUGCGCGGAUUAAUGCCCCGGGUGGGACGUCGGUCUACAAAGCGGUGGAAGGAUGAGACGAGGGUCGAGCUGUUUGAUGCUCCAUGCAAAUCCUCAACUGCAACGCUCUUUUAUCCUUAAAGGACAGCCAGUUGUGCUGCUGAGAGGGUCAAAAGGUUCUUGUGCUCCCCCUGACUUCCUACAAAAUCUAAAACAUAUUGCUUAGGAAUAUGUGUACCCUCUGGAUAUAUAGUAAAAGGGGAACUACAUUUGUUGACCCUUUUAUUUCUUAAAAUACAUUAGUAUAUUAUGCUGAGCAAGUUUUCAUCAUAAAAAGUCAUGAUAACAGGAUUUCUGCUGCUUGGACCUUGCGGAUACCUGGCUUAUCGAAAAAUCUGUGCCAGACUUGGCCGAACCAGCGAACACUCAGACUGUUGGUGUGGACAGGGACGUAAAUUGGAUGCGAGUCUUGCUGAAGCUUGCAACAGAGCUGAGGACUCCAAAGCUCACUAACGAAAUGGAAUCGAUCUUGGAGAAGUUGCUAGUUUCGGUUCAAUGGAACGACCAAACUAAUUUGGAUAAUUGGGAACUGAGAUGUAUCAGAGAGACUUUAGGGAAGAUUGAAAUUUAUAAUCUACUCGACCUAAGACAUUCUUUAUCUGAAUUGGCUUUUCCCGUGUUGCCUUAGAAGGGCUGCAGAUUUCCAAUCUCCUUGAAGAUAUGUAAACAUAUCGCUUCUUCCCACCUCACCCCCUCUUGUUAUCCAUGCAGCUGUGGAGCUGAGCGCUCCCAAGGACUUUCCUCGAUAACAACAUCUUAUCAGACUUCUGCCGGGAUGCCGAGCACUGUGGUUUCAUGGCCCUAUGAUGUCACUGCCUUCACUCAUAUCUUUGUUUUGCCCUUUGUUUUGUCUGAAUGUUGCCAAUUUCCCUAAUGUGUCCUUUCCUCUUUUUUAUUUUAUUUUGUUAGAAACUGUGGUAUACUCACUUUUAACCCAGAAAAGAAAUUAGACCAGAAGAUACUUACUUAUACUUAUCUACCAACCCUGAAUAUGAG